GCAAAAUCAACAAUUUAUCUAUUAACCAUUUCUACCAAAAAUUUAUGGAAGCAGAUGAGUUGGUGAACGAAUAUGAACUAACAAAAGUUUACACCUAUCAGUAAAACAAUAACAAUAAUAUAGUACACAGAUAUGACCUACCAUCCAUUUUCUUGUCACUCUAGCUCGUUAAGUUUAACCUCAUAUUGUUCACCAGAUGAGAGAAUUUUUACACCAACCAUACCCUUUUGCCACUCUGUAUUUCCCACCAAUAUGAGCCUCUCUGCAUUUAUACGUGCUGCCCGUUUGAACACCCAUUUAAGAGGUUUGUUUUCCAAAACUAAAUCAACACUUUGUCCUUUAUCUCUGAGUAUGGUAGCAACUGUAGCAGCUGCUCCUUGAAGAUCACCAUCUAGAGCGCAAACGAUGUUCUCUACUUGGAGGCUGAGUUCUGGUAGGAUACCCUUCUCCUUCAGUAGUUCAACUAUGACAGCAUCACCAAAUCCGAAGCCACAAGCUGGAAUGUCAUCACCACCAAAAGUAGAGAGCAGGCGAUCAUAUCUCCCACCACCACAUAUGGCUCUCAGCUUUCUUGCCUAUUAAAACCCUCAAAAACAAUACCAGUGUAAUAGGCAAGGCCACGGACAACGGAUGCAUCAAACUGAAUCCACUCAGAAUAACCAAACUUUUCAGCAAGCGAGAAAAGUUGUUUAAGAUCAGCAACUGCUUCCCCUGCACCUCCAAGUAUUUCUUCCAACUUUGUCAAUGACUUUAUGGAAAGGACUCGCAGCAGGUCCUCAACAGCCUCCUCUGACAUCCCAACUGACUUCAAAUCCUUUUUAAUAUCAUCCAUAGGAAUCUUCUCGAUCUUGUCUAUUAUGAUGCAAACCUUGCCAAACAAAUUUUCAGAUAUGGAAUAGCACCUCAAUACUUCCUGCAGAACCUUUCGGCUAGAAACCUUGAAUCCAACAUCUGAUGCAGUGACUCCAAUCCGCUUGAAAAAUGUAACUAUAGAAGAAAUAAGCUCUGCUUCAGCUGUGACUUCAGGUACACCAAUAAUAUCCAUAUUCCAUUGGUAGUGCUCACGCCGACGACCCCUCGUCAUCCUUUCAUAUCGCCAGCACUGUCCAACAGCAAACCAUUUCAGUGGGAGGGGUACUGAUUUUC
rnacentral:misc_RNA from 1 species